CCUACGGGUGGCAGCAGUGAGGAAUAUUGGUCAAUGGGCGCGAUCCUGAACCAGCCAAGCCGCGUGCGGGAAGACGGCCCUAUGGGUUGUAAACCUCUUUUGUAGGAGAAUAAACCCCGGGACGUGUACCGGACUGCGUGUAUCCGACGAAUAAGGAUCGGCUAACUCCGUGCCAGCAGCCGCGGUAAUACGGAGGAUGCGAGCGUUAUCCGGAUUUAUUGGGUUUAAAGGGUGCGUAGGCGGUCCGUUAAGUUAGAGGUAAAAUUGCGGGGCUCAACCCCGUCGAGCCGUUGAUACUGGCAGACUUGAGAGGGCGAGAAGUACGCGGAAUGCGCGGUGUAGCGGUGAAAUGCAUAGAGAUCGCGCAGAACUCCGAUUGCGAAGGCAGCGUACCGGCGCCAGACUGACGCUGAGGCACGAAAGCGUGGGGAGCGAACAGGAUUAGAUACCCUGGUAGUC
rnacentral:rRNA from 1 species